rnacentral:rRNA from 1 species
GAUGAACGCUAGCUACAGGCUUAACACAUGCAAGUCGAGGGGUAACGAGAGGAAAGCUUGCUUUCCUUGUCGACGACCGGCGCACGGGUGAGUAACGCGUAUCCAACCUGCCCCCAACUAGGGAAUAACCUUGCGAAAGUAAGACUAAUACCCUAUAAUUUCCUCAGAUGUCAUCUGACGAGGAAUAAAGAUUUAUCGGUUGUGGAUGGGGAUGCGUCUGAUUAGCUUGUUGGCGGGGUAACGGCCCACCAAGGCAACGAUGAGUAGGGGUUCUGAGAGGAAGGGCCCCCACAUUGGAACUGAGACACGGUCCAAACGCCUACGGGAGGCAGCAGUGAGGAAUAUUGGUCAAUGGGCGGAAGCCUGAACCAGCCAAGUAGCGUGCAGGAUGACGGCCCUAUGGGUUGUAAACUGCUUUUAUACAGGAAUAAAGUUAGCCACGUGUGGUUAUUUGUAGGUACUGUAUGAAUAAGGACCGGCUAAUUCCGUGCCAGCAGCCGCCGUAA